AAUCUGAUGUUGGAACCUCCAUUUUUGGACCCUUGGAUAAUCAUGAGUCACUGAUCCAGGGUGGAGAAAAAUGGGUGCUCCUAUUGAAGCUUCACGACCUCUCAAAAAUCACCGAUGAAUUAAUUUCAAAGAGUUCUUUUGCAUGAAGUGACUCUUGAAAAUAAUUUUAAUAUUUUUAUGUGUCGUAGAUGCUUGGACCAACGUGAAAAGCUUGGACUGGUGUG
rnacentral:lncRNA from 1 species